CGGUUUCCAUCAGGCACGUUUAUUAGAUUUGUUCCGAUGAUCGUGAUAUCGAUUACCAAUACCCUCUUAAAAGCAUUUUUGGCUGAGACUAACGUAUGUAUCCAGACAUUCAGUAAUUGCCCCUGAUGAAGGCUGUAUAUUGUUAGCCGAAACGCGUUGGGCUUUUUACCAGAUCAUUUUAAAAAUACACGCUCCUCAUUAAACUUUUGGUAUUUUCCUACCUACGUUUUUUCUUUUGUCAUUCUGGGGCACACACACCCUCCUCCAUUCCACCACAACCCUAAAAGCACAUGGUGAGUCACAGGAUGCUUUAUUGCAGGGACACAUGGCAUCAUCAACAUCUUCAUCCACAGCUCUAAGCUACCAGGGCAUCCACCAAACAGGAUGCUGGACUAAACUAAGACCGCUGCUCUGAUCCAGACAAGGCUUAUAUCCUUAGUGAAGUCACAGAAGCUCACCCAAGUUAUAACAAAAAGACUAUAGUCAUUUCCAGCAUAGCUAUUUGUAUCCUGCCCUUCUUCCAAGGAUGUUGAGUGCAGAACAAGGGGUUGCCCUAUUGUAUCCUCGUAACACCCUUCCGAUGUUAGCCCACCCAGUGACCUUCAUGGCCGGAGAGGGAUUUGAACUCAAGUCUCCAUUGCCCAAUCCAGUCCAUUACCCUGCACCAGCUUUCUCAUGGGCCCUGGAGAUGAAGCCUGACCAGUUACAGAAUGGAUCCUUCCGAGGAGAACCUUCAGAGGAGCUACAAGUGGUCAGAGGCGGGCAAGGAUGAAAUUUAUCCCUCAUCUGGAGUCACCACUGCUUAAUUUCACAUUCUUUGAUUUAAACUACUCAGCCAGUAAAGCUUCAAGUGCUAGUAGUUUCAAAUGCUAGUUUAACGUGCUCAGGGCCAUAGCACUAAAUGGAAGGAGGGGGAAAAGGUAUCAGUCAACAACAGCCUUCCCCAACCGGCUGCCCUCCAGAUGUUUUAGACAACAUCUCCCAUCAGCCCUAGCUGAUCUGUAUCAACCAACAGCACUGCUUUAACAGUUAGAAUUUACACAGCAAGACCCUCGGCACAUUUAUAAGAAGGAUGUUGUUUUAUUAAGGUAAAAAAAGUGAGCUGAUUUUCAUAUGGCAUUAUCUAACUACAAUCACCUGUCCAGAAUAGAAUAUACACAUUCACACCAAAAGAAACACUUCCACUCCACCGCCACCCAACCUCCCAUGAAGCAGUUCUCCAUCACUGUCCUUUUGCAGGGAUGCCCACGGACAGACUACAGGCCACAUCUUCUCCAUUGCUUCUGAGGGGAGAUUUUGGCACUGCAAAUGCAUGAUAGGUGGCCAAGAAAUGUGUGGGUUAAAUGUGCUGGUUGUGCAGUGAGAGGGUGCAAUUACCAAAAGUGUCCCACUGGAGGGCGACAGCACACAGAGCAGAAGGCAUCUGUGUACUGGGGGGGCAGAGCACGCAAGAGAAUUCCCUUUAAAUGUUCCUCGUACUCCCUCUCUCCAGCUGUACUCAGACUCGGUUUUCCAUUAAAGUGCGGCAUGACUCUGCUCUUACGGUUUUAUGAUGGCCUCUGGAGCCGUCCCAGCAAACGCCUCUUCAGGGGCCACCCUCCCACCUCUUGUGCCAAAUUCCUCACAGGGGCUUCUUCUUCAACCCAAAGACGGAGAUGAAAAGUAAGACCUCAACAGCAGCAGGCAAGGCACUGGUAGGGAGUGAGCACAGACAGAGGAGGACGGGGUCAGUACUGAGGAAAAGGGCUUCCCCCUCUCUGCAGGGGAAGAGGAGCCCCAGCUGUGGAGCAUCUCACAAGUGCACGCACAUGUAAAGCUGUGCGCGCACACACAGGGGGAGCUGCGAGUCUACCUGCAGAAGCCCAUGAUGUACCAGUAAGUAACCGUCUCCCAGCGUUCAAAGACGAAACAGGAGAGGCAGAUGGAGGCGCUGCAGUGGGCAGCCAACGCUAGUGGGAAAGCAGUCAGGGAAACUGUCGCUGGAGAAAGGAUGCCUGGCCAGGAAAGAGCCCCCCAUGGCCCAGCCACUUGCGCUUGCAGAGAGCCAAAAGACCUUCACUGUUGCCUGACAGUUUGAGCUAAGGGGCAUAUUGUGGGGGGAGAGGGAAGAAACCAGUCCCAACACCGGAGAGAUCAGUCCCUCCCUCCCUCCCUGACCAUCUGCUGGAUCAAUUUUUAUUUAGGCUGCAGGGACACCCACUCACCCACCCCCAUCACCAUGGCAAUCCAGAUGUUUAGUCCCUUUGAGGGUUCCUUUUUGGGGACUAAAAAGGCCGGUGUAAAUAUUUCAGUGAAUAAAAUAACAAGGGGUGAGAGAGCCAAGUUCAUAUGGAAAUGGACUGCCUUCAAGGCAAUCCCGACAUACGGCUACUGUAUGAAUAGGGAUUUUUUUUCAUAGUAAACUGUAUUCUGAGGGGGUUUCCCAUUGCCUCCCUCUGAGGCUAGUCCUUCCCAGCUGGCUAGGGCCUGCUCAGCUUGCCACAGCUGCACAAGCCAGCCCCUUCCUUGUCCACAACUGCCAGCUGGGGGGGUAACUGGACUCCUCGGGACUAUGCAGCUUGCCCAGGGCUGCACAGGUGGCAGGGCAUGUAACCCCUGAGCCACUCCCUGUGGGGUGAUCUUUAGCUUUACCCAGGAGACACGAGCGGGGAUGUGAACUCACAGACUCUGGACUCCCAGCCAGGCUCUCCUCCCCACUGUACUAUACCAACUAUCCCACUGUGAUCAUAUGGAGGACACAAAUGCUCUUGUCCCAAGAAGGCAGAAUGAUAUCCCAAGACGUCUUUCUCAGUUUGGAAACCAGCUAUUUUCUCUGGAUGUAUAAGUGCUGGCAAUUCCCAGCCAAUAGAAACCCUGGCUUCCACGUUUCUUCUACUGCUCUCCCCCUCCCCAUGAGACAGGAAAGAGAGCCCCUUGCCUUGCAAAGCUCUGCCUCCAGAGGUCGCCACCAUCACAACUGACCUGCAAAAAGCAAAGAUCCACCAGUACAGGCUGCCGUCCCACUGUUCAAAGAGGAAGAAGAGCAACGCCACCGCGGCAGAGGCGUGUGCACCAAUGGCUGGAGAGGACAGGAUGCUCAGUCAGGGAGCAACAACAACUGAAGGGCCCGGGGGCGGGGGGAGUUGUGAGAUGCCAGGACUGGUCCAUGCUGUGUGGCCUACAGCAGCCCACAACACGUGCGCUGUCCCAUUUGUGGCUGGUGGUCAGCUGCUGAUACAGCCACUGUUUUACAGAUGAGGGGAUGAGACGUAAGUGCUUUGGCAAAGCUGCCAGGAAUGGGCAUCCAGGUGUAAUGAGGAGGCCCCUGGGCCUCACCACCUCCUGGUAGCCACCUGCACACGUGGCAAAUAACAGGGAACUCUAUGACCAGCUCUCCUUUCAGCUCCUUCUGCACACCUGAACAUACAUUCAAAACGUCCUUCAACGCAGGACUUUUGUUUCCAGGUUCAGCUCCUGCACCUUGAAAGCCAUUUGAUGAGUCCAUCCAAACUGCCCUCUGCGUGGCUUCUCCCCCACACUCCAAAUAACCUACACUGGGCCUUUGACUAUCCCUCUUUCGUUUUCAAAGGAUACAAAGGAGGCUUUGCGCAUUGUUGAACAUGGACACUCCAGAGAGGAAGCCAGCCAACUCCACCGCAAACAGGCCGAGGGUUACCGACAGAGCAACCACCAUCCUAGGGAGGGAAAGUCACAGGAAGAGUCACAUCUAAUGCCUUUGCAAUCUGAAAUUCCUUCCCGACCCCAAUUACAGUAACCAGUCUCUCUCUCUCAC